rnacentral:rRNA from 1 species
CCUACGGGGGGCAGCAGUAGGGAAUAUUGCUCAAUGGGGGAAACCCUGAAGCAGCAACGCCGCGUGGAGGAUGAAGGUUUUCGGAUUGUAAACUCCUUUUGUUAGAGAAGAUAAUGACGGUAUCUCACGUAUAAGAACCGGCUAAAUCUGUGCCAGCAGCCGCGGUAAUACGGAGGGUGCAAGCGUUACUCGGAAUUACUGGGCGUAAAGAGCGCGUAGGCGGGAUAGCAAGUCAGAUGUGAAAUCCUAUGGCUUAACCAUCGAACUGCAUUUGAAACUGUUAUUCUAGAGUAUGGGAGAGGUAAGUGGAAUUCUUUGUGUAGGGGUAAAAUGCGUAGAGAUAAAGAAGAAUACUCAUUGCGAAGGCGACCUGCUAGAACAUAACUGACGGUGAUGCGCGAAAGCGUGGGGAGCAAACAGGAUUAGAUACCCGGGUAGUC